CGAAGCGUUCAUCGUAACCUGCAAUGAUAAUAUAAGUAUAUUCCACAUUUCGUUUAGAUGAAAGUUAUGGGGUUAUUUAUUGAUAUAAACUGUGUUUUAGUUGAUCUUACAGGUUACAAAGGCGAAGAAUUUACGACGAAUCUCGAACAACCAGUACAGAACAACAGCUGACGUUCUUCAAAUAAGUAAUGCAGCUUCAAAUACAGCUGAAAAAUGAAGGUUAUCAGCAAACACAAACAGUUUCUUCGUAACAGUUCUGAAUUUUAUUUUAACAUGCACAAAAGCGACGCGGCUAUCUUUCAAUAAAAAGUAAACAAAAGA